rnacentral:rRNA from 1 species
CAUAUCAAUAAGCGGAGGAAAAGAAACCAACAGGGAUUGCCUUAGUAACUGCGAGUGAAGCGGCAAAAGCUCAAAUUUGAAAUCUGGCGUCUUCGGCGUCCGAGUUGUAAUUUGGAGGGAUGUCUUCGGGGUUGGCACCGUCCUAAGUUCCUUGAAACAGGACGUCAUAGAGGGUGAGAAUCCCGUGCCUGGAUGGCUGCCCAACUCCAUGUGAAGUGUCUCCGACGAGUCGAGUUGUUUGGGAAUGCAGCUCAAAAUGGGUGGUAAAUUUCAUCUAAAGCUAAAUAUUGGCGAGAGACCGAUAGCGCACAAGUAGAGUGAUCGAAAGAUGAAAAGCACUUUGAAAAGAGAGUUAAAAAGUACGUGAAAUUGUUGAAAGGGAAGCGCUUGCGACCAGACUCGAUCUUUGGUGAUCAUCCGGGCUUCGGUUCGGUGCCAUCGCCAUUGAUUGGGCCAGCAUCGGUUCCGACGGCGGGAUAAAAGGGCGAGGAAUGUGGCUCCCCUUGGGGAGUGUUAUAGCCUCGUUCACAAUGCCGCCAGUCGGGACCGAGGACCGCGCUUCGGCUAGGAUGCUGGCACAAUGGUCUUAAGCGACCCGUCUUGAAACACGGACCAAGGAGUCUAACAUCUAUGCGAGUGUUCGGGUGAAAAACCCUUGCGCGUAAUGAAAGUGAACGGAGGUGUGAACCCUUCACGGGGUGCAACAUCGACCGGUCCUGAUGUCUUCGGAAGGAUCUGAGUAAGAGCAUAGCUGUUGGGACCCGAAAGAUGGUGAACUAUGCCUGAAUAGGGUGAAGCCAGAGGAAACUCUGGUGGAGGCUCGCAGCGGUUCUGACGUGCAAAUCGAUCGUCAAAUUUGGGUAUAGGGGCGAAAGAC